rnacentral:rRNA from 1 species
GCCGCUACCUCUUACCCAUGUCUUUUGAGUACUUACGUUUCCUCGGCGGGUCCGCCCGCCGAUUGGACAAAAUUAAACCCUUUGCAGUUGCAAUCAGCGUCUGAAAAACAUAAUAGUUACAACUUUCAACAACGGAUCUCUUGGUUCUGGCAUCGAUGAAGAACGCAGCGAAAUGCGAUAAGUAGUGUGAAUUGCAGAAUUCAGUGAAUCAUCGAAUCUUUGAACGCACAUUGCGCCCCUUGGUAUUCCAUGGGGCAUGCCUGUUCGAGCGUCAUUUGUACCUUCAAGCUUUGCUUGGUGUUGGGUGUUUGUCUCGCCUUUGCGUGUAGACUCGCCUCAAAACAAUUGGCAGCCGGCGUAUUGAUUUCGGAGCGCAGUACAUCUCGCGCUUUGCACUCAUAACGACGACGUCCAAAAGUACAUUUUUACACUCUUGACCUCGGAUCAGGUAGGGAUACCCGCUGAACUUAAGCAUAUCAAUAA